GAGAUGUUCCAAAAGAAUGUUAGUGAUAGUAGGCGUUCGGCUUUUUAUAUUAGUUUAGUUAGAUUGUACACAUUACGGUAAACAGUUCAGUGUAGGGGAAAAAUCAAUGAACAAAUGAAUUUUGAUAAACCAAUGAAAACGUUAACAGAUUGACUACGUGUUCAUUGGUUUCGAUGUGUUGUACUAUUGUAUGACUACUAUGACAUCAAGCACAGAAUACCAGUCUCAUGAACGAGGUCGUUGGUGCAUGUGAAUUUAAAUUCAAGGCCGGACUCCUACGUUAUAGAGGCUUCCAUACUGUAACGUAUUAUUAUUUCGAGACCUGAGUUGACCAGCGUUGGUACUGUUACCGCUGUGACGUUAUGGAAAUUAGUGCCGGUGAUGUGUUCAGCUCCGAGACUCCGUCUCUCUUUAUGGAUCCCUGCGAUUACCAACCCGGCCCUGAGCCCUUUGAGGUACGGAGUAAGAUAUGGGAUGUGGUUGAUUAGAUUAGAUACAUUAAGAGGUAAUGCGUUAAGAUGGGGUCAGGUAUAAAUAGAUGUAUGGCACACGAAAUAACAUAAGACAUCAGAUAAAAUUUACUGUGAAAAUACACAACAUCCUACCCUGCCAGGCAAUCCAGCUUGCUAGAGACAGAAAGCUCUUUCUCCUCCUGACGCCCUAGAGGUACAAGAGGAAAGAUAAAGGAAAAGUGUGUGGAUUGGGUCCGCUAAAUUUAGAGUAGAUGAGUACUUGAAAAAAA